rnacentral:sRNA from 1 species
UUCUUCUACCAUCCUAUCAAU